ACCCCCCCCACAGAGACCCCCCCCAUUGACCCCCCAGAGAGACCCCCCCAAUAGCCCCCCAAGAGGACCCCCCCCCCAAUAGACCCUAAAGAGACCCCCCCAAUGGACCCCAAAAGAGACCCCCCCUCAUUGGACCCCCCCAUAGAGACCCGCCCAUAGCUUGCCCAUAGCUGCCCCAUAGAUGACCCCAUAGAUACCCUUAAAGCACCCCAUAUCUGUCCCAUAGCUGCCCCCAUAGAUUACCCAUAGCUGCCCCAUUGGCUGCCCCAUAGCUGCCCCAUAAGAUACCCAUAGCUGCCCCAUUAUUGCCCCAUAGAUACCCCAUAGCUGCCCAAGAUACCCCAUAUCUGCCCCCAUAGCUGCCGCCAUAUCUGCCCCAUAUCUACCCAUAGCUGCCCCAUAGAUACCCCAUUAGCUGCCCCAUAUCUGCCCCAAGAAGAUAACCCCAUAUCUUGCCCCUAGAUAACCCCAUAGCUGCCCAUAGCUGGCCCCAUAGAUACCCCCAUAGCUGCCCCAUAGUGCCCCAUAUCUACCCCAUAGCUGCCCCAUAGAUACCCCAUAGCUGCCCCAUAGAUACCCUAUAUCUGCCCUAUAUCUGCCCCAUAGCUGCCCCACAUCCGCCCCAUAGCUCACCUUGCAGAAGCUGCAGUAGCUGCAGAUGGAUCCCGGCCUGUAACGUCCAUCACCACCAUCAUCAUCAUCAUCAUCAUCUUCAUCCUCCUCCGAGCUGCCCCCACCACCAUCAUCAUCAUCAUCAUCCUCCUCCUCGGAGCUCACGGGGUCGCCAUGGUGAUGGUUGCCAUGGUGACGAGCAUCCUGGUUGCCAUGGUGAUGGACAUCAUGGUCGUCAUGGUGAUGGACAUCAUGGUCGUCAUGGGGAUGAGCAUCCUCGUGGUCGUCAUGGUGAUGGACAUCCUGGUUGCCAUGGUGAUGGUUGCCAUGGUGAUGGCCAUCAUGGUCGCCAUGGGGAUGCUCUUCAUCCUGGUUGUCAUGGUGACGGUCGCCAUGGUGAUGGUUGUCAUGGUGAUGGUCGCCAUGAUGAUGGAGAUCCUGGUCGCCAUGGUGAUGCUCUUCAUCCUGGUUGCCAUGGUGAUGGUUGCCAUGGUGAUGGACAUCCUCAUGGUCUCCAUGGUGAUGGACAUCCUCAUGGUCUCCAUGGUGAUGGACAUCCUGGUUGCCAUGGUGAUGGUCGCCAUGGUGACGAGGAUCCUCAUGGUUGCCAUGGUGAUGGUCGCCAUGAUGAUGGACAUCCUGGUUGCCAUGGUGAUGGUUGCCAUGGUGAUGAGCUUCAUGGUCGCCAUGGGGAUGCUCUUCAUCCUGGUUGCCAUGGUGAUGGUUGUCAUGGUGAUGCCCAUCCUGGUUGCCAUGGUGAUGAGCAUCCUCCUGGUUGCCAUGGUGACGGUCUCCAUCCUGGUUGCCAUGGUGAUGGUUGCCAUGGUGAUGGUUGCCAUGGAGAUGCUCUUCAUCCUGGUUGCCAUGGUGAUGGACAUCAUGGUCGCCAUGGUGAUGCCCAUCCUGGUUGCCAUGGUGAUGCUCUUUAUGGUUACCAUGGUGACGGUCGCCAUGUUGAUGCCCAUCCUGGUCUCCAUGGUGACGGUUGCCAUAGUGACGAGCAUCCUCCUGGUCGCCAUGUUGACAUUCCUUAUGGUCUCCAUGUUGAUGCUCUCCAUCCUGGCCGCCAUGUUGAUGCUCCUCCUUGUUGCCAUGGUGACCGUCUCCAUGGUGAUGCUCUUCCUGGUUGCCAUGGUGACGCCCCUCCCCCCCGUCACCACGAGGCUCUUCCCUCCUCCCCUCCCCCUCCCCCCCCCCACCCUUUCAUCCACCCCUUCGAUUUUCGCAAUAAUCAUCACCCACUGUUGGCGCGUCUCCAACCCCGCUCCCCCUCCAACCAUAACAUGGGCGAGUCCGCGUAGCACCACCAUUAACCCCCCCCCCAUUUCCAAACCCGGGGGGGGCAGGAGGAGCCCCGAGGAACAGCCAAAGGAUCCGACCCCCCAUAGCCAGAACAGCAUCCAGACGCAAAUUGAGGAAACAGCUUGCUUUCUAGCACCCCCCCACUGUCUCAGGGGGCGGGUGGGGCUGCAUAUUACUAUCUACCCCCCACCGCCCCUAUAGACUAGACAUGAAGGAGGAGGAGAGCGGACAUUCCUAAUACAUACAUCCCACUCCCCCCUCAGUCCCAUACUUAGAUGCUGUAACAGGGGGGGGGGGGGGGGGGGGCACAUAAUAGGCCCCCCCCCCUUUAAUAGCCCCCCCCCCAGCGCCCCAUAGAUAGACUUGAAUUUAAAAGGGGGGUAUUGAAUAUCUACCCCCCCCCCCACAACCCCAUAGAUAGACAUGAGGGGGGGGGGGGGUUAUUUAUCACCUGCCCCCCCCCCCCCAGCCCUAUUAUAUAGACAUAAAGGAGGGGGGGAGGCGAAUUUGGAAAAAACCCCCCCCCCAUCAGCCCCAUAGACUGUAAGGCUUGGGGGGGGGGGGCACAUAAUAGACCCCCCCCCUUAAUAGCCCCCCCCCAGCCCCAUAGAUAGACUUGAAUUUAAAGGGG
ensembl:lncRNA